UACGUAGGGGGCAAGCGUUGUCCGGAUUUAUUGAGCGUAAAGAGCGUGUAGGCGGUUAGGUAGGUCCGUUGUGAAAACUCGAGGCUCAACCUCGAGACGCCGAUGGAAACCAUCUAACUAGAGUCCGGAAGAGGAGAGUGGAAUUCCUGGUGUAGCGGUGAAAUGCGCAGAUAUCAGGAAGAACACCCGUGGCUAAGGCGGCUCUCUAGUACGGUACUGGCGCUGAGACGCGAAAGCGUGGGGAGCGAACAGG
rnacentral:rRNA from 1 species